AUUGAACGCUGGCGGCAGGCCUAACACAUGCAAGUCGAACGGUAACAGGAAGCAGCUUGCUGCUUUGCUGACGAGUGGCGGACGGGUGAGUAAUGUCUGGGAAACUGCCUGAUGGAGGGGGAUAACUACUGGAGACGGUAGCUAAUACCGCAUAACGUCGCAAGACCAAAGAGGGGGACCUUCGGGCCUCUUGCCAUCGGAUGUGCCCAGAUGGGAUUAGCUAGUAGGUGGGGUAACGGCUCACCUAGGCGACGAUCCCUAGCUGGUCUGAGAGGAUGACCAGCCACACUGGAACUGAGACACGGUCCAGACUCCUACGGGAGGCAGCAGUGGGGAAUAUUGCACAAUGGGCGCAAGCCUGAUGCAGCCAUGCCGCGUGUAUGAAGAAGGCCUUCGGGUUGUAAAGUACUUUCAGCGGGGAGGAAGGGAGUAAAGUUAAUACCUUUGCUCAUUGACGUUACCCGCAGAAGAAGCACCGGCUAACUCCGUG
rnacentral:rRNA from 1 species